rnacentral:rRNA from 1 species
UACAGAGGUCCCAAGCGUUGUUCGGAUUCACUGGGCGUAAAGGGUGCGUAGGUGGUCGGGUAAGUCUGAUGUGAAAUCUCUGGGCUCAACCCAGAAAUGGCAUUGGAUACUAUUCGGCUAGAGGAGUGGAGGGGGGACUGGAAUACUUGGUGUAGCAGUGAAAUGCGUAGAUAUCAAGUGGAACACCAGUGGCGAAGGCAGCUCGCUGGGACGUGACUGACGCUGAGACGCGAAAGCGUGGGGAGCAAACAGG